AGAAUUCAAGAUGGCGUGUUUAGGAGCUCUAGCUCCUUGACAAAUUAGUAAAAUGUUAGUCUUAGGAGAAGAACGAAAAGGCUCUCCUAGGCUAAGAAACAGCAUACACAGUGAGAAACCUCAGAAGAAAUAAAAUUCAAGGAAGAUAGCAACAACGAAAACAUCAGAAGGAACACUAAAGUAGUCAAAUCAGCCUAGCAGAAACAAAGUACGUUAACCAAUGGAAAACUGACGGAGAGAAAUAAACUGUUUUUGCACAGCUAAAUGGAAAUGACUUUUGAAUUAUCUGCUUUGGAAGAUUAUCCAUGACACUGUUCUGCCCUGCUCUGCUCUAACAACAUUUGCUUGGGCCCACCAUCUGGUUUUGCCAUGAUUACCUGACCCACUCUAAGUACAGUGACUGCAGCAUUAGCAGCGAGUUUGAUAGACCAGUGUUUUCCCAGUGCUAUUAUGCCUGCCUGAAAUGCCUUCUUUCCUCUUAACUCUGCGAAGCCUGUUCAUUUUUAAGACCCAGAUCAAGACUGCCUCCUCCAUGAAGAAACCGCUGACUAUUCAGGCUGACAAUUUUCUCUCCAUCCUCUGAAUUUCUCUAGCACUUAUCACCUGUAGAACUCAUUAAAAAUCAUGUACUGGUAAAGUUGAAAGCAGCUGGAGACCAUUUAAUCUAAAACCCUCAUUCUUUUGCCAUUGACAUUGUUGGCAUUAUUACAAAAACCCCUGCUAUUUAUCAUUUUUAUUGAUAUUAAACUUUCUACACUCCUAAUUUCUGUCUCUUCAAAUGUGUUUUCUCAAGGAUAGGAGAUAAAGCCUACACAUCCACAGCAGAUUAUCAUCACUUCCAUUUAUUGGGAUUUGUGACCUUUAAGUCAUUGUGCUAGGUCCUUCAUCUAUAUUACAACAACCUCUUGAGGAAAGUAUUAUUACACCCAUGUUAUAGAUGAGGGGCAUGGAAAGGAUGAAUAACUUGCCUGAGAUCACAGAGCUAGUAAGUGGCAGAGGUGAAUUUCCAACCCAGGUCUGACUAACUCCAAAGCCUGUGCUUAAGAAAUGUUUGAUUGAUUAUUUAAUGGAGAAAAAUAAGAUUGCUAGUGGAACAACAGGAAGCUAGUCAGUCUUUCUGUGUCCUCCUCUGGCUAAAGUUCAUGUUCAGAACUGAUAAAGAUUUGAUAUGCAGUUACCUGGCAAAAGAAUCACUUUUCCUACACUAUGAAACUCUCUGGAGAUGGCUUCCAGAUUUUAAGUUAUAUACGCACAUUGCUUCAUAGUCUUUUUGUCUAAAAUGACCUGUCUACAGAGGGAUAAUUGUUUACUUCACAAAUCUUAUCUCGCCUAAAGUGACUGUAAGCACUCUGAUAAUUAUGUACUUCCACAGUCACAGUUGAAAGAGCAUAUAUGGUCUUAGAAACUGAACAAUUUUGUGUGCUGGCUAUAUAACUUCUGCUGAGUAAUGAAAACGCUCAGAGCCCUAAUGAAAAGAUUUCCUAUUUAUGAAAUAGUAAUAAUAAUAAUACAUAUAUCACAAGGCUGUUGUGAUAAUUAAGCAGUGUUUUUGUAAAAGGUGUGGUAUAUAGUAAACACUUGAUAAGUGCUUAAUGGCUGUCAUAUUUCUUAUUUCAGUUUUCCAUCUAUACCUUGUUUUAAGCAAAUAACAUUUACAAAUCAGAUUUAUAAGGAAAAUUGUUUAAUCAGUGUAAUCUUAUAUGAAAUUAAUAUUGAAAAAAAGGAAUGUUUUCUCUUUACAAAAGCAUCUACAAGAAUUAUACGAAAAACUUCCAUGAUAUACUGAAAUAUAUAGGUCCAUUUAAAGUUUUUGAUUUAUAAACAAAUCAUCAUGAAUACAAUUUACAAGUAAAGUAAAAAGUUAGAACUCAGCAAUUGAGUUUCUUCAGCUUGGAUUAGUGGUGUGACAGUAUUGCCUCUGCUAUGCAGACAUAGUUUUCCUUUGCAUUUUCCCAGGCUUUCUCACAGACACAGCCACCUUAUCUGUACCCACACAGAAAUGCUUUGUUAUGUGGCAACCUGCAAUUCCCCAGAGCAGGUAAGGCCAAGCUCCCUUAGAACUGCCCAUUUGACAAGCCAAUGAUAUUAAAGAUGGCUCUCGCCAUGGGUCCCCACUCCACAUUUUGCACAUUCCUCUACCAUAACACCCACAUACGUUUUAACCCUUGUUUAUAUAAUUAUUUUAAUUAUUUUUAAUCCUUGUUUAUAUGAUUAUUUCCUGAUAAAUGUCUGUUGAAUUAAUUUAUGAAGUAUCAUAUGAAAUAAUUUUUGUGGUUAUAGAUGAGGAUAGCAAUGAGAAGAAGUGUUUUUCAAACAAAGUUGCUGAGUAAGAGUCAUUUAACAGAAUUGUAGCACUAAGCUUCUAAUUAAAAUAAAACAAUUUAAAACAU
rnacentral:lncRNA from 1 species